AUUUCUUACAGGCUUGGUUGUAGAGGAUUCUUUCUACCAGUCUCCAGUGAGUUUUUAGUGAGAAUUAUUCCACAUGUAGAUGUAUUUUUGAUGUGUUCACAGGGAAGGUACGCGGUCCUCUCACUGUUGUGGCCUCUCCCGUUGCGGAGCACGGGCUCCAGACACGCAGGCUCAGUGGCCAUGGCUCACGGGUCUAGCCGCUCCGUGGCAUGUGGUAUCUUCCCAGACCGGGGCACGAACCCGUGUUCCCUGCAUCGGCAGGCAGACUCUCAACCACUGUGCCACCAGGGAAGCCCCUUUGUGAACAUUUUAAAGCUAUACUAUCAUGG